GUGGUUACUAGUUAAUGAGAACCUUCAAAAGAAAACAGGGUUAAAUUGACAAAGACUGUAAAAAAAAAAUAACUUUUUUUUCCCCUUUUUAAUCCUUUUUGCAAAACAAACUGGCGUUUCCCCUAUUUUCCCAACUUAUUUUACAGAAGUUAGCUGUCUCAGAAUGAGCAUGUGCAGACAGGCAAGAAGACAGAGUUUGGUAUAAAUAUACCCACCCUGUCAAAUUUUCAUUCUCAGGUGGUCAGCACAGGCACAUUAGUGCAGAAAAAGGGUAAAUCCUACUUUAGCCAGAGUUUGUUACAGGGCAGUAAGUAUUUAUCACUCAUCCCUUUAAGCUCGCUUUCCCAAUAAUGCAAAUGCAGGGCUACCUACGAACUUUGUGUUGCCUGUUGCACAUUUCUAUGAAAAACUGUGCUCUUGAUGCACAUGUAUAUCCUUUUCUUUCUUCUUCUUGAAAAAUCUAUCUAGACUUGGAGGGCUGUUACAGCAUAAGGAUUUGAUAUUUCUGGACUGUGCUCAACUUGGUAGAGGCACCAGGAGCUCCAAGGAUCCUCCUGAUCCUACAGAGAGCCCAGCUCCAGAGAAAUCAGGACUGUUUGUUCCAAGCCACGUGAAGAUGUAUCCGGAGGCUGCAUUAAAAAAAAAAAUAGAGGCGACUGUACGUUUGCAGGUCAUAAAGCUUCCUAAAGUUAUUUAAGAAACAUAACACUGAAAUUGCUUCUUCUGCCUUCAUGAAGAUUGGGUGCAAUGAUAGACUGAGGAAAGCCAUUGCCUCUGCUCAGAGACAACUUACACUUUCUAAGUGGCUCAUGAACAGCUGAAGUCAACCCUGGUCAUACCAAUGAGAGCACAGUCAAUAAAGAUAAUUGUGUUUGUUUAGCA
rnacentral:lncRNA from 1 species